GAGCUCCUCCCCACAUGGCAAUGUAAUUUCAGGGCUAGUAGAUUAUGAUGUUUUCAAGGCUACUAGAGAAGCCAAGCUAGAGGAAUGGCUGGUGGAGACUGCUGAUAAAUUGCGAGAUAAAUUGCCUCGAAGCAAAUGAUGCAGAGCCGUACUUCUUAUUUUGUAGACUGGAAUAGUGUGGCUUUUGUUGUGCAGUUUUUGAUCUAGGACUGAUAAUGUCAUUCAUUUGAUUCAUUGAAACAAAUUUUGUGGAUUUUCAUGCACAUAUAGUCUAAAGGCCUUGUUUAACUGCGAAGAGUUCGUUCGUUAAUGACGAGAAACUGAACUUACAUGUUGAAGAAUAAUCAUGUAGCAGGGUUUAUACUCUAUACACUAGAUUUGCAACCCUUCAUCCCAAAAGGCAAAAGAUGUCACAAUUCUGAUUAUACAUGCUGCGAAAAUAUCAGCACUUGUAUAGAUUACAGUUCCAGACUCGCUACCCAUACUUAAGUUGAAUCUCCCCCCUUCAGCUCCGAGUCGAGGAUACGAAUCCAUAACACAUGGCCAGUAGCAUUUAACGAUCACAGAUCUUCAACUGUAGUCAUUAGCGAGGAAGUUAUCUGACUACUGAGAAAAUGAUCGAAAGUUGGCAACCCUUAAUCGUUGAUCCUUGGAGUGCAAAAUCUCUGAAUGCUGAAUAACUCGCUAAAUCGUCAUUAGAAUCUUGGUGUCUCAGCAUUAUAGAGUUCUUUCCAGUUUUUCGAUCGACGGCAAGCAUUUGCAGUUCAGCACCGACUUCGAAACUCCAGUUGAACACGGUGCAUAUAUACCGCCUCAAUGGUCCUUCUCAGUUUCCAUCUCUCCCCGUGUUUCCUUUCAUUGGGUUUAAGUUCUAGUAUCUAGCAUCCUUCACGAUAGAAGUUCCUGAUAAUCGAGAUGCCGCCUAAGGGUUCAUAGCGGCAUGCAACAUUCAUCUGUUUGAAGGAACUUAGACGAGCAUUUUCUGGUUCCGAGCCUCUCUCUGAUUUUUCCAAGUACUCCAGGGCAACUUCAAUUGUUAAAAGACCAGCGAAGGUUCUUAUAACUGCUAGUUGACAGGAUCCAAGAGGAACUACAAUCUAUUGCGGUAUUUCUCUACACCAUGGAGGAAUUCCAUCCAUGGGCAGGACCUGCACCAUUUACAUCAAGUUCCUCAAAAUGAAAUCUAGGUGUCUGAAUUAAUGAACAAAUAUUGGUGGUAGUUAAAAUUUGUUACCUAAGCAGUAUGGCCUUUUGAACAUGCCAAACUUGCUCGUCUCCAAUGCUUUUUCAGGUGUUACCUUUAUACUCUGUGAUAAAAACAUGUAGGAGAAACAUUAACACAAGAUAUUAGUGAGGCAUAAAUUGACAAUGAGAAGCUAAAUAUUAUUUGUGUACAAACCUAUACCAUACAUUUCGCGGGGAGCCUGAUUCGCCGUUUUCAUUUCUACCGACACUUCUCCUGUUACC
rnacentral:lncRNA from 1 species